UUGAACGCUGGCGGCAUGCCUUACACAUGCAAGUCGAACGGCAGCACGGGGGCAACCCUGGUGGCGAGUGGCGAACGGGUGAGUAAUACAUCGGAACGUGUCCUGUAGUGGGGGAUAGCCCGGCGAAAGCCGGAUUAAUACCGCAUACGACCUAAGGGAGAAAGCGGGGGAUCUUCGGACCUCGCGCUAUAGGGGCGGCCGAUGGCAGAUUAGCUAGUUGGUGGGGUAAAGGCCUACCAAGGCGACGAUCUGUAGCUG
rnacentral:rRNA from 1 species